rnacentral:rRNA from 1 species
GUGAGGAAUUUUCCGCAAUGGACGAAAGCCUGACGGAGCAAUGCCGCGUGAAGGAUGAAGGCCUAUGGGUUGUAAACUUCUUUUCUCAGAAAAGAAUUAUGACGGUAUCUGAGGAAUAAGCAUCGGCUAACUCUGUGCCAGCAGCCGCGGUAAGACAGAGGAUGCAAGCGUUAUCCGGAAUGAUUGGGCGUAAAGCGUCUGUAGGUUGUUUAAAAAGUAUUCUGUCAAAGAUUAGGGCUUAACCCUAGAUAGGCAGAAUAAACUUUUAAGCUAGAGUUUGGUAGAGGCAGAGGGAAUUCCCGGUGGAGCGGUGAAAUGCGUAGAUAUCGGGAGGAACACCAAAGGCGAAGGCACUCUGCUGGGCCAAUACUAACACUGAGAGACGAAAGCGAGGGGAGCAAAUGGGAUUAGAUACCCGAGUAGUCC